rnacentral:rRNA from 1 species
GAGUUUGAUCGUGGCUCAGAUUGAACGCUGGCGGCAUGCCUUACACAUGCAAGUCGAACGGCAGCGCGGGGCAACCUGGCGGCGAGUGGCGAACGGGUGAGUAAUAUAUCGGAACGUACCCUAGAGUGGGGGGAUAACGUAGCGAAAGUUACGCUAAUACCGCAUACGAUCUACGGAUGAAAGUGGGGGCUCGCAAGACCUCAUGCUCGUGGAGCGGCCGAUAUCUGAUUAGCUAGUUGGUAGGGUAAAAGCCUACCAAGGCAUCGAUCAGUAGCUGGUCUGAGAGGACGACCAGCCACACUGGGACUGAGACACGGCCCAGACUCCUACGGGAGGCAGCAGUGGGGAAUUUUGGACAAUGGGCGCAAGCCUGAUCCAGCAAUGCCGCGUGAGUGAAGAAGGCCUUCGGUU